GUAGUCUUUUUCUGGGUUGUUGGGGUUGGUGUUACUGUUGCUAGAUAUGGACUCGAGUGAUGGGUUGAUGCCAAGCCAAGAUUAGAUCUUUGGCCAACUAUGUAUAUUCUAGCACCUUGACAUACGAGCUGGGUUUUAACAUCACAAUGCAGUCAUAGAUAUUGGCACGAAGACCCUUAAGAAACUUCCUAACCUUACAACUCUCAGGGAUGACCAUUAGCGGGGCAAGCCUAGACAUCUGGAUGAAUCGUGCUGUAUACUAGGCAAUUGUCAAAUUUUCCUGGCAGAGGGUCCUAAAAUUCCUCCUCCU
rnacentral:lncRNA from 1 species